GAAAUUCAUUUCACGUAGUGAGAAAGCCAGAGGUAGGAGAUCCCAGGUUCCGCAGCUUGACAACUCGUACUUCCUCCAUCCUUCAUGCAUUGUAGAAUAGCAGCCUCCAAAGAUGUCCGUGCCCACAUCCCUGGAAACUGUGAAGAUGAAGAAUCACAGUUAAUUACAGGAAAGAGCCUCAUUUUUUUAAAAAUUUGAGAUGGGGUCUCCCUAUAUUGACCAGGCUGGUCUUGAACUCCUGGCCUCAAGCGAUCCUCCCACCUCGGCCUCCCAAAGUGCUAGGAUUGCAGGCGUGAGUAAUGGGGCCCGGCUGAGCCUCACUUUUUUUUUUUUUUUUUUUUGAGACAGAGUCUCGCUCUGUCACCCAGGCUGGAGUGCAGUGGUGCGAUCUCAGCUCACUGCAAGCUCCAUCUCCCGGGUUCACGCCAUUCUCCUGCCUCAGCCUCCCGAGUAGCUGGAACUACAGGCGCCCGCCACCACGCCCGGCUAAUUUUUUGUAUUUUUAAUAGAGACGGGGUUUCACCGUGUUAGCCAGGAUGGUCUCGAUCUCCUGACCUCGUUAUCCGCCCACCUCGUCCUCCCAAAGUGCUGGGAUUACAGGCUUGAGCCACCGCGCCUGGCUGAGCCUCACUUUUUUAUUGUAAACUUUUGUCUGCAUUUUUUCCAACAAAUGGAUUCAUUGCUGUGUGUUACUUGUCAUGGCCCAUUGUAAACAAAAUGCUUAUAUUAUGGCAUAUAAACUGUUACUUGCUACUGCCUACAAAUCAGAUGAAUAAGUAACAGCACAUUCACUAUGUGGAGGUCAGGAAAUGAUGGUUUAAGCAUUUCACAUCCUGACAUAAUAGUUUAUUAUGUAUAUGUGGACAUUUCACUGUGUUGUAGUUAUAUAUUAGGAAAUUGGUUGGGGUUAUGGUUGCCAUGCACUGUAAUAUAACUUUUUUUCAAUUUACAAACAAUGAUAAGAAAAUUUUUAGUGGUUUUUCACAGAAUAUCUGACUUUCAGGAACAGAUUAAUGAUGUUAAGUGGGAAAUGUUGGGAUCAUCCAAAUUCACCCCUGAUCCCCACCCACCGGCAUCACUCCCAUUCUAGUCUAAGCCUUGACUGUCACGGUUGCCUCCUAAAAGGGUCUUUCUGCUUCCAUUCCUGCCAUCCUUCCUCCAACCUCUCCUCCACAAAGCCAACAGAGAGACUUUUAAAAAAAUCGUGGUAAAAUUUAUAUAAUAUAGACUUUACCAUCUUCACCGCUUUUUUUUUUUUUUUUUUUUUUUGAGACAGAGUCUCACUCUGCUGCCCAGGCUGGAGUGCAGUGUUGCGAUCUCAGCUCACUGCAGCCUCUGCCUCCCAGGUUCAAGCGAUUCUUCUGCCUCAGCCUCCUGAGUAGCUGGGAUUACAGGUGUGCACCACCAUGCUCAGCUAAUUUUUUGUAUUUUUAGUAGAGAUGGCGUUUCACCAUGUUGGCCAGGUUGGUCUCGAACUCCUGACCUCUGGUGAUUUGCCCACCUCGGCCUCCCAAAGUGCUGGGAUUACAGGCAUGAGCCACUGUGCCCGGCUCAUCUUCAUCAUUUUUAAGUGCACAGUUCAGUGACAUUUCUGCACUUACAAUGUUGUGCAGCUAUCGCCACCAUCCAUCUCCAGAACUUCUCAUCUUCCCAAACCAAAACUCUGUACCCAUUAAACACCAACUCCCCAUUCUCCCUGCCCCCAGGCCCUGGACACCCCUAUUCUGCUUUCUCUCUCUAUGCUUUUGACCAUUUUAGGUAGCUCACAAAGUGGGAUCAUACAAUAUUUGUCCUUUGUGUGUGGCUAUUCUCUUAGCAUAAUGUUUUUGCAGUUCAUCCUUGUUGCGGCGUGUGUCAGAAUAUCAUUUCUAUUUAUGGCUGAGUGGGUAUUCCAGUGUAUGCACCAUAUUCUGCUGAUCCAUUCCCCUGUUGAUGAACAUUGUGCUGCUUCUGCCUUUUUUCUGUUGUGACGAAUGCUGCUAUGAGCAUGGAUGUACAAGUACGUGUUUGGGUCCCUACUUUCAAUUAUUUUGGGCUUAUACACAGAAGUGGAAUGCUGGAUCGUAUUGUGGUGCUAUGUUUAACCUUUUGAGGAACUACCAAACUGUCUUCCACAACAGCUGCAAAAUUUUACAUUCCUACCAGCAAUGCGUAAGGGUUCCAGUUUCUCUACAUCCUUGCCCACACUUGUUAUUCACCCUCAUUCUCACCUAUUUUGCUAAGAGCCAUCCUAGUGGCUGUGAGGUGAUAUUUCACUGAUAUGCACUUCCCUAAUGACUAAUGUUGUUGAACGUCUUUUCAUGUGCUUAUUGGCCAUGUGUAUAUUUUCAGAGAAAUGUCUAUUCUAGUCUAUUCCAUUUUUGAAUUAAAUUUUGUUUUUGUUGUUGAGUUGUAGGAGUUAAAUGCAUGCAUUUAUAUUGUUUUCUUUUUGGUUUCCAAGUCAUACUAACAAAUUGUACUGUUAAGUUGAAAAUAAAAUGUGAAGAUUUAGCUCACGUACUCUUGAUAUUUCUUGAUAGUGUUGAAUACGGUGUUUAUAUAGUUAAUAGUUGCUUUAAAAAUGCCAUAUAAGUCUCAGCCUUCAUAUUUCUAGGAUUGAGAAGACAAGUGGUCAUGCCACUGAUACUCACACCUGGUACUUAAAAAAUGCCAUUCCCAAAGUGUUGGGAUUACAGGCAUGAGCCAUUGAACAUGGCAGAAUUUUUCAAUAGAAGUUAUGCUUUUCGGUAAAAGUUGCUUUGCCGGAGAAUAACACAGUGGUUUGGGCUAUCCUGCUUCAUGGCUGCAGCUGCUCCUCAGCUACCAUUGAGCUCCCACCUCCCUGCUCUUAACAGAGGAAGACAUAGGGAAAGAAAAGUAGAUAAAACCUAAAUAAGCUGCUUUCCCAGUUUGCUGUUGGCUGGGAUGAUAUCUUAUUACCUGCUGCACACCUUCAUUUGUCAGUCUCCUUUGAUUUGAGGAGGACAUUUUAGUGGGCAUGUGGUGUCUCCCUGUUAUGGGCUAAAUUGUGUUCUCCCUAAACUCAUAUGUGAUCAUAUUUGGAGACAGGGUCUUUACAGAGGUAAUCAGAUUAAAAUGAGGUCAUUAAGGUGUUCCUUGUUCCAGUAUGACUGGUGUCCAUAUCAGAAGAGGAGAUGAGGACACAGACACACAUAGAGGGAAGACCACAUGAAGACAGAGGGAGAAGAUGACCUCUACAAGCCAAGGAGAGGGGCCUCAGGCCAGCACAAGAGCACAGGGCAGGCACCUCUUCCUGCUCACUGGGGAGAGCCUGAAGUCUCCAGUGUGGUCACCUCUGAUGAGCUGUGUGCUUGGAAGGAGGGCAGGGGCAAGAAGGCCCAGAACAAGGAGUGAGUGCCACUGUGUCCUCAGGGACCUGGCUUCUGCUGGGCCCAGCUGGGCAGCUCUACUCUGUCACCAUCUCAGCUUCCCGUGGCUUGGCUGCUUCCUGUGCAUGAAGACACCAUCCCCACUAACCUGCCCCAAGGCAGGGCCUGUGUGUCGGUCGGAAUAUCUCUGUCUGUGGAUGCCAGGGAAAUGAAUGAAGGUGCUGAUACUCUGCACUCAGGCACUUCCAGUAACAUUACUGCAUCUAAAGCUGUUUGUUUCACUUUCAGAAGGUGAAUUCCACGAGGGCCCUCUGUCGUCUGCCCUACCCCCUGCACAUAGUUCCAUGCCUGGCAUUUCAGAAGUGUUUGUUAAUACUGAGUGUAGGAUAGGAAAAGGUUUGUAGUAUGGAUAAUAUAAAUAAUUGGUCUAAUGAGACUGAUGCUGAAUUCUGCUGUGCUACCUACUGUCCCAUCCCUCCGCAGGGCCUGUCUUGAGAUGCACCUUGUUUGCCCACGGGGGAAACGUGCUUUGGAAAGUGCUGGACACCAUGGCUGUGCAGGCCCAAGAAGGUGAUGUAUUUAGUGUGCUUCAAGAAAACUAACAUUUUCAGAGGGAGCAAGUUACUUAUUAUUGGUUACCCUUAAUAUAUACCAUCUAGAUUAAGCAUAUUUAUUUCCAAAUUGUUCGCUAAGGUACAGGUCCUUGCCUUAGUCAGUCUGAGCUGCUGUAACAAAUUACCAUAGACUGAGUUGUUCAUUAACAACAAAGUAUUUCUCAUGGUUCUGGAGGCUGGAAGUCUGAGGUCAGGGUGCCAGCAUGGUUGGGCUUCGGUGAGGGCUCUCGUCUUGGUUUACAGACAGCUAGACAGCUGUCUGUAUCCUCACAUGGCAGAGAGAGACAAAGGUUGCAAGCACUCUGCUGUCUCUUCUUAUAAGGGCACUAAUUCCAUCGCAAGGGCUCCACCCUCAUGACUAAUCAUUUCCCAAAGGCGCUGCCUCCUAAAAUCACAUUGGGUGUUAGGAUUUCAACAUAUGAAUUUGAGGGGGACUCAAACCUUCAGACCAUAACAGUUCAUGGCUAAGAUUAUAAAUGACCAAAGCCCAGUGUCACCAAUAAUCCAGCUCUAGAAAGUGUAGUAAUGGAAACGACUUCAUCCCCAUGAGAUGGAAACAGUUAGAAGGAUGAAUGACUCAAGCCUUGACAAGGAUAUGGAGAGACAGGGUGUUGCUAAUGGGAGUGCAACUGGUACAGUUAUUCUGGAAAACCAUCCGUUUCUUUGUGAACUCAAGUGUGCAUCUGUCUUCUGACCCAACAGUCCCACUCUUGAAGUUGCGCAAUGUGUAGCUUUUACAACUAUAAGCGGUGGCCCUGAUUCAAGACCACAGAAUGAGCCACUGGAACAUCUGGGAUGAGGACCUCCUGCUUGCCAGGUAGUUGAAAGACCUAUGUUCGUCAUAGCAACAGGGCCUGGAAAAGAGAAGAAAUACAGCCUUUGUAUUUCUGGGAUUGAGAAGGAAAGCAGUCAUGCCACUGAGAAUCUCUGGGUCUGGAAAGGGGGUUGGUCAUUGUGGAUUCCAUGAAGGCUCUGCCGGAAGAAUCUGGAAGGACUGAGUCUUCAGAGCCUCAGCCCUGGGAGGCGGAGUGACAGGGACCUAUACCGAUUGAGGACAGAGAGGAAAAGGUCCCUGCUGAGCAUUUCUCUUUUGAAAGACCCUCUGGCUGCAGCCUGGAUGAGCAAUGCUGACAGGUGAUUCGCAGUACUGGCUGGCAGUGUAAACCAAGUUAGCAAAAUAGAAGCAGCAGCCUGGGAGAAAACAGGGCUUGGAAGAAGACUGUGGUGGAGACUUCCAGGACUCCUAGAUGAUCCAGGAGGACAAGAAAGUGCAAGUUUGGGAUCCUGGAAUUCCUGCCAAUCUGCAGGUGGAGGCUUAAGCCAGUACUGAUUUAAUCUGAAACCUAACGUGAAUGAAACAGCUUGCACAGCGCAGCAAGCGGCAGGAGCAGUGUCUCCAUGCCAAGCUCACCAACAUGUCCAUUUCCUUACUGGGUGGUGACUGUCUCAAAAGGAGGAUCCACGUUUGGUUUUACUUUGUAUCACCAUGACUUGGCACAGGAUCUGGUACAUAGUAGUUCUCAGUAGACGCUAGCUGAGGGGCAAAUAAGGAAUGGUACAACGUGUGUGGACACAGGUUAACCUUAUGGAGGUCAGAAGAAGGCAGAGGGGAGCAAAUGGAGUCCCAGACAUCAAAGGAACGUCCCCAAAGCCCUCCCCACCCACCUCUCUCUUUCUCUCUAACAGUAGGGUUUACAAAGAGCAGCUUAUUCCGGG
rnacentral:lncRNA from 1 species